rnacentral:rRNA from 1 species
UACGUAGGGGGCAAGCGUUAUCCGGAUUUACUGGGUGUAAAGGGAGCGCAGACGGCAGUGCAAGUCUGGAGUGAAAACCCGGGGCCCAACCCCGGGAGUGCAUUUGAAACUGUCUGGCUAGAGUGCAGGAGAGGUAAGUGGAAUUCCUAGUGUAGCGGUGAAAUGCAUAGAUAUUAGGAGGAACACCAGUGGCGAAGGCGGCUUACUGGACUGUAACUGACACUGAGGCUCGAAAGCGUGGGGAUCGAACAGG